UACGGAGGGUGCAAGCGAUAUCCGGAUUCACUGGGAUUAAAGGGUGCGUAGGUGGGCAGGUAAGUCCGUGGUGAAAUCCUAUAGCUUAACUAUAGAACUGCCAUGGAUACUACUUGUCUUGAAUGUCGUAGAGGUAAGCGGAAUAUGUCAUGUAGCGGUGAAAUGCUUAGAUAUGACAUAGAACACCAAUUGCGAAGGCAGCUUACUAUGCGAUGAUUGACACUGAGGCACGAAAGCGUGGGUAGCAAACAGG
rnacentral:rRNA from 1 species